rnacentral:rRNA from 1 species
GACGAACGCUGGCGGCGUGCUUAACACAUGCAAGUCGAACGGGACAUACGGAUAGCUUGCUAGAAGUAUGUUUAGUGGCGGACGGGUGAGUAACGCGUGAAUACCUAGCCAUCGGAGGGGGACAACGGUUGGAAACGGCCGCUAAUACCGCGUAAGCCGAGAGGUGAAAGGUGCUCUUCGGAGUGCCGCCGAUGGGGGGGUUCGCGUCCUAUCAGCUAGUUGGUGGGGUAAGGGCCUACCAAGGCGAAGACGGGUAGCCGGUCUGAGAGGGCGAUCGGCCACACUGGAACUGAGAUACGGUCCAGACUCCUACGGGAGGCAGCAGUGGGGAGUAUUGGGCAAUGGGGGAAACCCUGACCCAGCGACGCCGCGUGAGGGAUGAA